rnacentral:rRNA from 1 species
GAUGAACGCUGGCGGCGUGCCUAAUACAUGCAAGUCGAGCGAACGGACGAGAAGCUUGCUUCUCUGAUGUUAGCGGCGGACGGGUGAGUAACACGUGGAUAACCUACCUAUAAGACUGGGAUAACUUCGGGAAACCGGAGCUAAUACCGGAUAAUAUUUUGAACCGCAUGGUUCAAAAGUGAAAGACGGUCUUGCUGUCACUUAUAGAUGGAUCCGCGCUGCAUUAGCUAGUUGGUAAGGUAACGGCUUACCAAGGCAACGAUGCAUAGCCGACCUGAGAGGGUGAUCGGCCACACUGGAACUGAGACACGGUCCAGACUCCUACGGGAGGCAGCAGUAGGGAAUCUUCCGCAAUGGGCGAAAGCCUGACGGAGCAACGCCGCGUGAGUGAUGAAGGUCUUCGGAUCGUNAAACUCUGUUAUUAGGNAAAGACAUAUGUGNUAGUAACUGUGCACAUCUUGACGGUACCCUAUCAGAAGCCACGGCUAACUACGUGCCAGCAGCCGCGGUAAUACGUAGGUGGCAAGCGUUAUCCGAAUUUAUUGGGCGUAAAGCGCGCGUNAGCGGUUUUUUAGUCUGAUGUGAAAGCCCACGGCUCAACCGUGGAGGGUCAUUGGAAACUGGAAAACUUGAGUGCAGAAGAGGAAAGUGGAAUUCCAUGUGUAGCGGUGAAAUGCGCAGAGAUAUGGAGGAACACCAGUGGCGAAGGCGACUUUCUGGUCUGUAACUGACGCUGAUGUGCGAAAGCGUGGGGAUCAAACAGGAUUAGAUACCCUGGUAGUCCACGCCGUAAACGAUGAGUGCUAAGUGUUAGGGGGUUUCCGCCCCUUAGUGCUGCAGCUAACGCAUUAAGCACUCCGCCUGGGGAGUACGACCGCAAGGUUGAAACUCAAAGGAAUUGACGGGGACCCGCACAAGCGGUGGAGCAUGUGGUUUAAUUCGAAGCAACGCGAAGAACCUUACCAAAUCUUGACAUCCUUUGACAACUCUAGAGAUAGAGCCUUCCCCUUCGGGGGACAAAGUGACAGGUGGUGCAUGGUUGUCGUCAGCUCGUGUCGUGAGAUGUUGGGUUAAGUCCCGCAACGAGCGCAACCCUUAAGCUUAGUUGCCAUCAUUAAGUUGGGCACUCUAAGUUGACUGCCGGUGACAAACCGGAGGAAGGUGGGGAUGACGUCAAAUCAUCAUGCCCCUUAUGAUUUGGGCUACACACGUGCUACAAUGGACAAUACAAAGGGCAGCGAAACCGCGAGGUCAAGCAAAUCCCAUAAAGUUGUUCUCAGUUCGGAUUGUAGUCUGCAACUCGACUACAUGAAGCUGGAAUCGCUAGUAAUCGUAGAUCAGCAUGCUACGGUGAAUACGUUCCCGGGUCU